UAUAUGGUUACUCUGAGCUCGGUCAACCAUUAUAUGUAAUCAAAUGGUUACCUACUUUAGUCUACCAUUACAAUUUUCAUUCCUUCAAAUAUAUUCCUAACAACGAUUCAGUCAUGCAGCUUUUUUUCAACUUGCUAAGUUUUUUUCCUUCUCGUCAUCAAACCUAAACCAUGAUACAUUCAUGUUGAUUUUUUCUUCUUUCCUUUCCUCUCUCUCUCUCUCCUUUUUUAUCAUCAUAAUCGUCAUCAUCAGCAUCAUUCUGCUUCUCCUUUAUCCACCUUCAUAUUCAUCACUGGGACAUUCCAUUACUUUGCAUCAAUUCAUUUUGCCUGAUGGUUUGUCAUUUUGUAAAUAGAUUUAGGGAAUAAACGUUUACUUGUAUUAUUCACCUAAAGUCAACACUGGCAACAAUAAUUGUUAACAUGAAUUUGUGGUUUUUUUCGUAACCACGUAAGCUUUGAUUAAAAGAAGUGAGGAAAAGUAUUUGAAUGCAAAAUGCUGUCAUCAUGGUUCAACUGGACAGUUUUUUUCUUCUAUGGAUGCUACACAUCUUCAUCUUUACCUGACUGAUUUAUAAACCAUUGAUGAUGGAGACAAGUUGGAACUGCCAGGAUUACUCAAAUAUUAGAGUUUACAUGGGAUUCUGUUGUGAUAUGAAGCAAUUUACCAGCCAAUUACCAGCCAAGAGGCUCACAAGAUUAAUUAUGAAUAAACUUCAAGAUUAGGAGGGAAACAAUUAAUUCAAUUAUUGAAGGCGAAUAUGAGUUUAUGGAGCAUAAAAAAACACUUCAGCAUAUGAUUAGCUUGUAAA